rnacentral:lncRNA from 1 species
UAGAGAAGGAAGAAGUCCGGAACAUGAGCAGCACAAGUUCAGCGGCAUGACCAGUUCUUCUCUUCAGUGGUUCGAUUAGGUUUGGCAUAUGAGGAAAAACCGACGAGAGGUACAACCGUACCAAAGUGAGAGCCUUUCAAGUUGCAAUAUAAUAAAGGUUGAUAAUAAGAUUGGCAACUGCCGAAAUGACACGAGCUUUCUUAGUCGGGGAAGGC